rnacentral:lncRNA from 1 species
UCAUUAUUCAUUUUUGUUUUCUUCAAGUUCUUGGCCACAAACUUAGUUAGUUGGCAUGAAAAUUUAUCAGUUAUCAUCAAAUUUAUGGUGAUGCACAUAGUUCGCUGGCACGAACUAUCAAAAAUUUCUUCUCUUGUCCUUCCUUCAACACUCAAUCUUCAAUACAAUUCCUAUGUUUCUCAAUUUACUCCAUUUUCAUCAUAUGAUCAUCCUUUAGUGCUCCUUUAACAGAAAUCUAAAAAGUAAGUUUGAUUCAUUAAAUCAUCCUUAAAAGCAUAAACACUAAAAAAAAAAAUUAGUAAGUUAGUUAUUUACCAGCUUAUCAAGAUUUUUCCAAAGUCUUUCUCUGAGUGCUUCAGAUGAGGAGGUGCAUGUAACUUUGUGGUAAUAGAGGUACAACCACAUACUUUUUAAUAAAGAAAAUGAAGAGCACUUUCUCACAUUCAAUCUUAUCUCAUUAAUUGACUGAAAAUUGAGGAAACUAUGUCUAUUGGAUAUAAUUCAAACUUGACAGAUCAAAUCAUCAGACAACAUAUGAAAUAUGGAACAAGUCGAGCGUGGUUCAGUAUAAAUACACUUUGUCUUAGUCUCAAACAAGGCCGGUGAAGGAUGAUAUUAUUUAUGGAAGGUUCAAGGUGUUGCAAUCUGAGACCAAUAUCACGGUUAUGAUUAAUCUAGAUCGAUAAACUUGAGGCUAGACAUAAAAAAAGUAACCGAUCAGGAUAACAUCAAGCAUUCAACCAUUUAUAAAAAGUCAUAGAUCUUCUUAGAUCAUCACGCAGCCCAACAUGUAAUGGACGCAGCAUGUAUAAAUGGAUCAUUUGAGAGCAAAAUUUACACAUAAUGUUCCCUAGGAAUUAGUUAUAAUUAGCUCCUUCUUUUAGUUGUUGGCAUCUGAAUUAAUUAAUUCACUAGGAUUGUACAUAAACUUGUAAUUAAAAGAUCCAUAAUUUUGAAAUACAAUAGCCUCAUGCUAUUUUCAUGACGUUGCCAGACAACUACAUCGGAAUAUAGGUAUCAACUAGCUCUCUUAUUUUGUUAUUGUUACUGGAUUUACUAUUCAUUAUAGUUUUGUAUUAUCUUAAGUUGUAAAUUUAAGCAAGUUAGUUCAUAUCGAUUCUUGUUUGAUCAUCUUUAUAUGCAUGUCAUUGAUCCA